AGAUUGAACGCUGGCGGCAGGCCUAACACAUGCAAGUCGAGCGGCAGCACGGGUACUUGUAUCUGGUGGCGAGCGGCGGACGGGUGAGUAAUGCCUAGGAAUCUGCCUGGUAGUGGGGGAUAACGCUCGGAAACGGACGCUAAUACCGCAUACGUCCUACGGGAGAAAGCAGGGGACCUUCGGGCCUUGCGCUAUCAGAUGAGCCUAGGUCGGAUUAGCUAGUUGGUGGGGUAAUGGCUCACCAAGGCGACGAUCCGUAACUGGUCUGAGAGGAUGAUCAGUCACACUGGAACUGAGACACGGUCCAGACUCCUACGGGAGGCAGCAGUGGGGAAUAUUGGACAAUGGGCGAAAGCCUGAUCCAGCCAUGCCGCGUGUGUGAAGAAGGUCUUCGGAUUGUAAAGCACUUUAAGUGGAGGAAGGCAGUUACCUAAUACGUAUCUGUUUUGACGUUACCGACAGAAUAAGCAACCGGCUAAACUCUAGU
rnacentral:rRNA from 1 species